UACGAAGGGGGCUAGCGUUGCUCGGAAUCACUGGGCGUAAAGCGCACGUAGGCGGAUUGUUAAGUCAGGGGUGAAAUCCUGGAGCUCAACUCCAGAACUGCCUUUGAUACUGGCGAUCUUGGAGUCCGGGAGAGGUGAGUGGAACUGCGAGUGUAGAGGUGAAAUUCGUAGAUAUUCGCAAGAACACCAGUGGCGAAGGCGGCUCACUGGCCCGGUACUGACGCUGAGGUGCGAAAGCGUGGGGAGCAAACAGG
rnacentral:rRNA from 1 species